UCCCUGGCCAAAGUGGUGCCUGGUCAAAAAAGGUUGGGAACCACUGAGCUAAAGGGACCCUAUUUGGGAUUGGGAUCCACAGUUUACAAAGCAGUGGUAUAGCAGAUCCAUUGAAAUCUGCUUGUUUUUAACCCUACAGAUUUCAAUGAUUCUGCUUGAGGAAUAAUUAAGUCUGAAAUAGAUUCAACUGAAGAUUGCUGCAAGUCUAUUCAGCAGAGCUUGGAAACUACAACUGAGUUCCUGCAUCAAGCCUCUUGACCUGACUCUCUGAAAAACCACUUUUAAAUCCAGCCUGAUAUGCUGGAGGAUGGAGUUCGACAGUGUUGGGGAAAGCAGCAGCACUAAAGGAUGAUCCAUUCACCCUCCACCAAGCUGCAGUACACCAAGGAAUCCUGCUGUGGUUCCUGCUUCUGAUAUCACCACUAUUCUGCAGUGGGAGAGGGCUGAAUGUGUCAUCUUUCGACACCCUGCUUAUCAGCAGAACUCCUUUCCAUCAAUGCAGAUGGUUGGAUUUUAACGUAAAUGCAGCAAAGACAACUUCAGGGAAACUCUAUUGGGCAAAAAGCCAUUCCUUGCCUUAAAACAAGGGUCAGUUCACCUGGAUACCCAACACAGAAACAAAUUCUACAUGAAGUCCUAACUAGAGUAGACUCACUGAGCAUGUUCAUUGACUCCCAAGACAAACCCAGGCUUUCCCCCUGUUCAAUGCUUAAACUUGGGAUAAAGAAGAACCCAUGGAACUAGGAUGGAGCCAGACAGAGCCCAUCACACGACACAGGACUACAUCACAUGACACAGGACUACAGAGCUCCAAUCUGACUCCAUAUUAAAAGUGUCCUACAGUGGAGCCCUGAGAACACAGGAUGCUUCCCGUGUUCUCAUUGAGUAGAAUUGGGAAAGCAUGCAGGGAAGCCAGGCGGCGAUGCUUCCCCCUGUGGGAUUGGGAAGGGGAUAAUGCAGAUGAUGCGGAGCAAUGGGUGCCCAUGCUGUUGACAGGAUUUGUCCCACUGCCCCAUGGAUGCCCCCGCUUUCCCCCCGAUUUCAGGACCUUAAUGUGAUGUGAGCCAUAGUUUCUGUAACCUACUCCAAUGAAUUAUAAAAUUAAAAAUACAAAAAAAGAGUACAAUGCAAAGUUAACUGACAAAGGCCUAUAAUAAAAAUAUAAGUUUAUGAAUUAUUUUGCUCAAAGUGUAUUGAGAAUCGGGUGUUUUUAAUGAAUUUUUUGAAGAUGUCAUUCUGCCCAAAUGAACAUCAAGAGCUGUGACCCAUGUAGGAGCAACCUCUCUUGGCUCUUGGACUGUUAUGAUGACUUUUAUCAAACCCACUGUGCUUUUUCAAAUUUACCAAGUUCCAGAGAUUCUCCAGAGUCACCACUGCAAAGUCCAGUCAGUCCCCGAGUUGUAAAGAUCCAAUUUAUAAAGUAUUCAUAGUUAAGAAGGGGGCUGAGACAACAGGAAGUGGGAGAACUCUUCCCUAGGAAGAGAAAUUAACUCCUGAAAGAGUUAUCAUGGGAAAAAGGGAAAAAGUGCCUCUAUUGAAGCUUUAUCUCCAACCCUUGUUUCCACAACAAGACAUUUUUUUUCAAGACCCAUUUCUCACAGGGACAAAAAGUGAGGUGAAAUCUUCUGAACACGCAGACAGAAAAACAAACACCACACUCCAAAGCUUUUAUAUAUAUAUUGAAAACAGGUACAUUUUUAAGUGUAUAUAUAUGGCUGGAGUUACACUUAAAAAUAUACCUGUUCCAAGUUACAUACAAAUUCACCUUAAGAACAAGCCUACAGAAGCUAUCGUGUCCGUAAAUUGGGGACUGCCUGUACAUUCUCUGACCUGGAGGGACUCAAGGUCAUCUCAUGAUAUCUGACAAUUUUGACUUCUUUGCUGGCUAUGUGGUACCCCAUCUAAAAGAGGAUCUUCUAAAUUAGCAUGCUUGGUGGGACAGGACAAGCAAAGUAACCCUUUCAACACACAAAAUCCAGGCUUAACGCAUGAAAAAUGAUGCAUCAUGUCGGUGGACUCUUUUGCUAAUCUCUCCUCUUGUCUCUGCCAAAUUCAGGUACACUCUGUGUAGCCUUAUGUAAGCAUGCAUGCUUACCAACAAAGGGAGUGCAUUAUCAAAAUAGCUUUUCAGUAACAACAGAGGGCAGCUAAAAGCAUUGAAAAAGACAGGUCAGAAUGAGCUGACAUGGUUGUUUUAUGGAAUGAUAGGAGGUGACUCUGGUUAAUUGGAAGCAAGAACAAAAGGCUUUGUUCUGUACAGCCAGUGUGUUUUCCCAACUGCUAAAACGAAUUAUCCAAAUAUUCAUCAACAUCUUCACAAACGAAAGACAUUACGAUCUUUUCAGUUAAAGAAAGGCUUUUCAAAGGCAGGGAGCAUUUUGAUCAAGACAGUGGAAGAAGGAAAAUGAAUUGCCAAAGCUGGAGAUGCCAUCAAAAUCAUUCAUGUUCCAGGUAUGGAUAUCUCUUGGCUGGUGAGAGAAAGUUGUCUGAGGACUAGAUUCAGAAAAAGAAGACAACUAAAAAAGGUCUGGAAGUCAGCAUUAUUUAUCUGUUCAACAUUUCAUUGCCACCAUCAAUGAAUGGGAAGGUAUCUUUCUUUACAACAAUCAAGACAAACUGAUUUCUGUGGGUACAUUGACUGAAACACUUUAAGGUUUUUUAUGC